AAAUUGAAGAGUUUGAUCAUGGCUCAGAUUGAACGCUGGCGGUAGGCCUAACACAUGCAAGUCGAACGGUAACAGGAAGAAGCUUGCUUCUUUGCUGACGAGUGGCGGACGGGUGAGUAAUGUCUGGGAAACUGCCUGAUGGAGGGGGAUAACUACUGGAA
rnacentral:rRNA from 1 species